AGGACAGACUUCCUGCCGCUGGCCAAGGCCAAGCCAAUCAAGAGUGAGAGUAACUCCCCUGUGAUAACACAUUUAAGAACAGAAGGUUGUGGCGCAGAAAGAAUUCCAGCCAAGGAAGAGCAAAGUGAGAGCAUGUGAGCAACUCUGCAGACACCAAGGUCAGUGCAGAAGGAGGGGAGGAGGUGCUCCAAGUGCCGGAGCUGAGGCCCCUGGAGCUCGUGCUGCAGACCAUGGUGGAGCAGCUGUGCCCCUGCAGCCCAUGGGGGACCAUCGGGGUGCAGAGACCCCCCUGCAGCCCAUGGAGGAGCCCGUGCUGGAGCAGGUGGAUAUCCGAAGGAGGCUGUGAACCUGUGGGAGGCCCAAGAUAGAGCAGGGUCCUGCCAGAGACCUGCAGCCCGUGGAGAGGGAAGCCCACGCUGGAGCAGGUUUUUCCCAGGUAGGACUUGUGGCCCCUGUGGGGGACCCACGUCGGUACAGCUCAUUCGUGAAGGACUGCACCCCAUGGAGGAGUGACCCACGGGACAGCAGUUUCAUGAAGAACUGUGAUGGUGAUAAGUAAGUGACCCCUCCCAGCUUUUAUCUCAACUCAUGAAUCUUUCGCUGUUUUUUUCUCUCCUCUGUCCAGUUGCAGAGGGGAGUGAGAGUAGUACUGCAGCUAUAGUGAGUACCUGGGGUCCAGCCAGGGUCAACCCACUACAUAAGGAAUUUGGCAGUGCUGGGAUUUUUUUCUCAAAUGGUAUAAAACCGAAUUUAAAAUAGGAAAAUAGUUUGCUAAAUUCUCCUCCGCCUAAGUGCAGCAAUUUUCCACAAACACAGCAAACUCUCACGAAGCGCAUGAAAGAACAAUCAAUACAUUAUGUAGGAAGAAAUAAAGCCUGAAAUUAGAACAGUUUUAUGGCAAAUAAUCCAGUUGAAAUCCCAGGAGUAUUGUUAAUGUAUGGCACUUUGUUUUGCUUUACUUUUCAAUGUGUUUAAAGGUGACUGUUCAGGAUGGAGAAUCUGAAGAGAUAAGAGUAUUAUAAAACUGCAAGAAUAGUUGACUUGCGUUACUGUAAACCUCAAAACAAUAAUGCAAUUAAUGACAAAUUGCCAGGAGACGUGUGCAGGAGUUCAAAAGGAGAUGCUCAAGGAAUCCUGAGUGUAGGCAGGCGCAGCAGACGAGGCCGCACGUAAGCAUACACGAUUAAGCCAAGUCUGAAAUCACACAACAAUGUCAAGCAACCUGGGAUGCACUUUUACCUAUGAACUACACCACAACAAGGCAAUUUGGAGAUUAUUCAGACUGGAGAUUAUUCAACUUUGGACCUCAUCACAACGCACACCACAGACAAGGUGACAAGCAUUUCAGCAGACUGACUGCCCCACAACAGCAGCUUCAGAGAACAACAGAUUCCACUGUACCCACACCGAAGGGAAGCAGAUGAUCUGGUACCUGGAAAUCAACCAUACAACACUGUACUACUACCAGGCUGCAAAACUAAACCACUAUUUCAAAAAUCCUUUCAGUUAAAUGCCUUUCAUUAAAAAAAAAAAAAAAAAAGACAAGAAUAAACCUUCUAAUCACAAUUCAA